AUACGAAGGGUGCAAGCGUUAAUCGGAAUUACUGGGCGUAAAGCGCGCGUAGGUGGUUCGUUAAGUUGGAUGUGAAAGCCCCGGGCUCAACCUGGGAACUGCAUCCAAAACUGGCGAGCUAGAGUAUAGCAGAGGGUGGUGGAAUUUCCUGUGUAGCGGUGAAAUGCGUAGAUAUAGGAAGGAACACCAGUGGCGAAGGCGACCACCGGGGCUAAUACGGACACUGAGGUGCGAAAGCGUGGGGAGCAAACAGGAUUAGAUCCCCUGGUAGUCCACGCCGUAAACGAUGUCGACUAGCCGUUGGGAUCCUUGAGAUCUUAGUGGCGCAGCUAACGCAUUAAGUCGACCGCCUGGGGAGUACGGCCGCAAGGUUAAAACUUAAAUGAAUUGACGGGU
rnacentral:rRNA from 1 species